CUCUCCCGGAUCGCCCCUUUCGAAAUCCUGGCGGAGGGGGCGGGGUGCUACCCCGGCGGUCUCCCGACGCGUGACCUGCGCCCUUCUCGGAGUCUAGCUACUCAAAUAAACCCGAAAUAGGGCUGUUAGGAGGGGUCCACGCUGUGUGAGAAGCCAGGGGCAAAACUCAGACAUGAUGAGACAUGACUAGUCUCCAAGCUACCUGGGUUUAAAAGCAAUAAAGGAUACUGAUUUGUUCCUUAUAUUCCUGUGUUCAUAGAGGAAUUCCUAGGGAGCAAAGGCAUUUGGGACUUGCCUGAUGGCUCAGAAAGUAAAGAAUCCACCUGCAAUGCAGGAGACCAGAGUUCGAUCCCUGAUUCAGGCAGGUCUCCUCCAGAAAGGAAUGGCUACCCACUUCAGUUAUUCUUGCCUGGAGAAUUCCAUGGACAGAAGAGCCUGGCAAGCUCCUGGGAUCAAAAAGAGUUGGACACCUGAGCAACUAACACAUUCUUCUUUGGAGCAUUUAGCUGUUUUGUGAUCUUUUAAGUAUUUGACUUUAAACAUUUGCUUUCUUACACCGAGUCUUUUUUAAAGAUUAAAAUUGAGAAGUAUUGCUGACAAUUCCACAACUGAGAUAUUUUAAUGUAAAUAUUAUAAAAUACACACAAUAGAAAAUACAGAAUGGUAAUAGGCGAUACAAGACAAAAAGUAAAAGGGGCUUUCCUGGCAGCCCAGUGAUUAAUAAGACUCCCCACUUCCACUGCAGGGGGACAAAGGUGAUCCCUGAUGGAGGAACUAAGAUCCUUCAUGCUUCUCAACGUCCCCUCCCCCCAAAAAAAGAUGUAAAAAAUCCUCCUUCCUACCCUCCA